UUUGCCAGGAAUGGAAAGUUGCAAAAUCAUCCUGACCAAAGGGACACGCAGCGACGCAGGCCCAACCCUCAGAGCCGAGACCCGGGGCCAGGGGGCUGUGGGCCCAGCUUCUCUCCUCGGCCUCCGACUCCGUGAGCUAUGCUUAGUUCAGGGGCGAAAAGGAGCAAGUUCAUGAUUGUUUAUGGAGAAAAUUCUCUGCCAUUGUUGCCAAAGCAGCAGCCCGUUCACCAGAGUGUGAUAUCAACAUACUAAUCACCAUGAAAUGCACGCGGAUGGCCUGGAACACAGACGAGUAUUUUUAACCCAUCACUUAAACAAGAAAUCAAGCUUGGCGUGGUCACGCGGGACAUCACUGCUUAGCCUCCAGCGGCAGAGCAGCGUGCCGUGCUGACACGGGAUGGAUUUACGCUGCUCGCCCCCCUUCCUGUGGACGGUAAUAGGGAAGAGUCACAACCAGCGUGACUGAGACCACGGCAGCCGCAUGCUGGGCAUCGUCCUAAGCCCUGUACACGACUAUCUCGGUCAAACCCCCACACAACACCUCCGCACCCUCAGCCCCGUGGUGCCAGGUGCUGGCGUUUGCAUAUAUUCGUGAAGUGUUCCUGAAAACCCCAUGACGUGCCUUCUACUGUCAUCCCAGCUUCAAACAGAGAGGGGACCGCUUGCCCCCGGUCAGCGUGGAGCCGGGUGAGACGUCUUUGUGACCUUGUCUGUCCUAAAGGGGUCAUAGGCCGUGCCCCUGAUUUACCCCUGCAGCCAGAGUGAGCCACCUUGAAAGCCACCUUGAAAGAGUGAGCCACCUUCCGCACACGCUCACCGGUGCCACCCUGCGCAGGGCCCCAGGCGAAGGCGGUUUGCGAACAGGCCGCGGGCAGAACCGUCUGGGGGCUGCUUGCUUUUGAGAAGGGGGUGCACGGGGCCCCACGUAUAUACACGGAGCCUAUGUAUCUCCAAUGUGGUGGCCAGCCAUUCUUUUCCCCAAGUUCACUGCCCAGCUCCCGCCCCCUCCCCCCCAAAUCUAUAGAUGACAAUCAGGUUGGUUUUUAUGAUUUAGUGAGAAUCAAAGACAAAGGGGGACUUUUUUUGUCUUGUUUUUGCUAUGACAGCUUUAGAAAUUUGUUGUACUACAUUGAUUCAAUUUUCCUUGAUUUCAGCCAUCUUUCAAUAAUGCAACCUGCUUCUGCUAGCUGGGUAUACAGGAGAAAACCCCAAGGAACUGAGAAUAUUGAAAUGGUUCUACCGUUUCCAUCUUGGAGACAAAUGUGCCUCUCAGAGGAGAGCCGGAUGCAAGCAUGUGGCUCUGCCUAACGACCGUCUACACAUAAGAGACGACACACACACUCCAGUGAUGUCUUACGCAAACAGGGAAAACACUGACCGGCGGGUCUGACCCCAGGCUCCUUCCCUCCUCUCGGCUCUCGUUCCUCAGAGUUGUCACGUGGGCUGGCGUCUUGGAUUUCUUUCUUUUUUAUUAGGAAAACAUCCAAACCAUGUGGAACCAGGCGGCCGAAUGGGGCCUCGCUUAUCAGGCACAACGGAAUGUAUCCCGAUCCUUGCUCUAAACCUGGAAGAGGCUCCUCGGAUGUUUCCCCAAACCCCUCCUCAUGACAAAUAAGCAGGAGGAGGAGAGGGAAAGGAGACUCCGGGCCUAUCCCCCAACCUCCACCUUUUAAAAACGGAAGCAUUUUAAAACACUGAGGCCGAAUUGUUUCAUCUGGCACUUAAAACCUUCCGGCUUAGAGAACACAAGGAGGUGUUGGUCAUAUGUGAUUUGAAGCAAAAAACACGUUAAAAGUGAGUUUCUUUUUCUAAGGAAUAAAUCUGAGCAACACGGAAGUGUUUUCCUUGGAGGCCCCCCCACACCUAGGUACCCCCCCGCCCCCGCCAGAUCCUGGGACCGCAGACCCGGGCCCCACCUGCCCCCAACUCUGGCAGCUUGCUUACCUCUUUUUCAAUUUCUGCCAGAGAUUUGAUGGUGAUCCCCAAGAGAUCAAAGGGCUGCAUCUGUAAACACAGAUCAAGGCAUCCUUUUAAACGGCUGGAAAAUGCUGUUUCACAUUCGCUUUUAUGCAUGACGGCGGUGACAUCUCAAACCACCCUAUGUGAUCUAGCGUUUUCUCUAUUCUCUUUCAGUGGAAACCCACCAGGACUCUAGUGAUCACUGAGGGUACAGGGGUGAGCGACGGGAGCACAUAUUGCAGAAAACCUGGUCGACAACAGGGCUGGCCCCUGCUGGCAGGGACCCUGCCUGGGCAUCUGUCGACAGCACCCAGCAAGGUCACAGCCCUCCUAAAAGACAGUGACUGUCACUGAUCACUUCCGCCUCUUCUCCAUGCCCGUGUCAAAAGCCGGUUUGCUCCUUCCACAGCUGGGGGGCCGGAGGGGCACAGGGCUUCACCACAUGCCACCCUGACUGCUCCAUCUACGUGGUGGGAUGGGUCUAAGCAGUUCCAGGAGGCAGGAUGGUCAGUCUCUUGUCUGGGACUCCUUGACAUCCAGGGAAGGAGCCGGAGGGAGUUCUAGGCCUCUGGAAAUGCAAGGGGAAUGAAGGACGUGCCCAUCAAUUAUCAUUUGAGAAAUGAGAAAUGAUCAGUCGUGGUGAAAACUGGUAACACUGCAUUUUAAUGGGCGUUUCUAGAAGUUCAUGAAGAUGGGAACUUUUUCUGAGGACGCUGGCUUUUCAACAGACGACAUGAAAAAUCAAAUGCACAUGGCAACAAGGGUCAGCUGGAAGCCCGGAGAAGCCUGGGCUGAACGCAUGGUGAGAGGGGACCUGGUCCCUGGGGCCCCUGCUCUGAGCCCUCUCUGGGCACAUCGGGCAUUUCAUAUUCCUGAGGGGGGGGGGUUCCGAAAACAGGCAGCCGGGACGAACAGGUGAAACCGGAGUCUCAGACAAAAGCCCAGGCCUUCGUGGUUUCCAGCCACAGCCCAGAG